rnacentral:lncRNA from 1 species
CAACAAAUUCAUACUUAUUUGCUUGUUCUUGACAAGGAACACAUUUAGCAAAACAAAGAUCUAAAAUGUAUAAUUUAUACCCAGUCAUCACAUGUAUUUUUCAGGAACCAGCCUUCUGGCAAGAAGGAAAGAUACAUGAUUCUUCCCAGACACUCCACCAGGAAUUACUCAUGAGUCAGAAUUUGGCUAACGUCCGCUGACAUUUCCUUGACACGUUUGUUCUCCACCCUUACAAUCACAGGCCAUUAUUUUAGAGAUUGAGAACCAUUCCUAACUCAUAACUAGUUAUCAUAACUAGUCCCUUG